rnacentral:rRNA from 1 species
AGUCGGGACCUAAGGCGAGGCCGACAGGCGUAGUCGAUGGACAACGGGUUGAUAUUCCCGUACUGACGAAGAACCGCCCAAGCUAAUCCAGUGAUGCUAAGAGUCUGAAUCCCACUGAUUGAUCCCUUCGGGGUGAGACGGUGGGCCUAGCGCUCGACCCUAUGCUGGUGCGGUUAGCGUAUUAACAGGUGUGACGCAGGAAGGUAGUCGGUCCUGGGCGAUGGUUGUCCCAGGCCAAGGUUGUAGGCCGAGAGAUAGGCAAAUCCGUCUCUCAUAUAAGGCUGAGAACUGAAGGGGAGCCCGCAAGGGCAAGAUCCGAUGAUCCUAUGCUGCCAAGAAAAGCAUCGGCGCGAGGUUCAAGUCACCCGUACCCCAAACCGACUCAGGUGGUCAGGUAGAGAAUACCAAGGAGAUCGAGAGAAUCGUGGUUAAGGAACUCGGCAAAAUGCCCCCGUAACUUCGGGAGAAGGGGGGCCUGACACGUCAACGGAUUCACUCCGGGAAGCGUGGUAGGGCCGCAGAGACCAGUGGGAAGCGACUGUUUACUAAAAACACAGGUCCGUGCCAAGUCGCAAGACGAUGUAUACGGACUGACGCCUGCCCGGUGCUGGAAGGUUAAGAGGAACGGUUAGCCGCAAGGCGAAGCUGAGAAUUUAAGCCCCAGUAAACGGCGGUGGUAACUAUAACCAUCCUAAGGUAGCGAAAUUCCUUGUCGGGUAAGUUCCGACCUGCACGAAUGGCGUAACGACUUCCCAGCUGUCUCAACCGCGAACUCGGCGAAAUUGCACUACGAGUAAAGAUGCUCGUUACGCGCAGCAGGACGGAAAGACCCCGUGACCUUUACUACAGCUUGGUAUUGGUGUUCGGUGUGGCUUGUGUAGGAUAGGUGGGAGACUGUGAAGCUGGCACGCUAGUGUCGGUGGAGUCAUUGUUGAAAUACCACUCUGGUCAUAUUGGAUAUCUAACUUCGAACCGUAAUCCGGUUCAGGGACAGUGCCUGGUGGGUAGUUUAACUGGGGCGGUUGCCUCCUAAAAAGUAACGGAGGCGCCCAAAGGUUCCCUCAAUCUGGUUGGCAAUCAGAUGUCGAGUGUAAGUGCACAAGGGAGCUUGACUGUGAGACUGACAAGUCGAGCAGGGACGAAAGUCGGGACUAGUGAUCCGGCAGUGGCUUGUGGAAGCGCUGUCGCUCAACGGAUAAAAGGUACCUCGGGGAUAACAGGCUGAUCUUGCCCAAGAGUCCAUAUCGACGGCAUGGUUUGGCACCUCGAUGUCGGCUCGUCGCAUCCUGGGGCUGGAGUAGGUCCCAAGGGUUGGGCUGUUCGCCCAUUAAAGCGGUACGCGAGCUGGGUUUAGAACGUCGUGAGACAGUUCGGUCCCUAUCCGCUGCGCGCGCAGGAAAUUUGAGAGGAUCUGACCCUAGUACGAGAGGACCGGGUUGGACGAACCUCUGGUGUGUCAGUUGUUCCGCCAGGAGCACCGCUGAUUAGCUACGUUCGGGAUGGAUAACCGCUGAAAGCAUCUAAGCGGGAAGCCGGCCUCAAGAUGAGAUUUCCAUGCCUUCGGGCGAGAGGCUCCCAGCUAGACUACUGGGUUGAUAGGCCGGAUGUGGAAGAGAGGACUAAAGACUCUCGGAGCUGACCGGUACUAAUAAGCCGAUAACUUACCAAU